GGGUUGUGAGGUUAAGCGACUAAGCGUACACGGUGGAUGCCCUGGCAGUCAGAGGCGAUGAAGGACGUGCUAAUCUGCGAAAAGCGUCGGUAAGGUGAUAUGAACCGUUAUAACCGGCGAUGUCCGAAUGGGGAAACCCAGUGCAAUUCGUUGCACUAUCGUUAACUGAAUACAUAGGUUAACGAGGCGAACCGGGGGAACUGAAACAUCUAAGUACCCCGAGGAAAAGAAAUCAACCGAGAUUCCCCCAGUAGCGGCGAGCGAACGGGGAGCAGCCCAGAGUCUGAAUCAGCUUGUGUGUUAGUGGAACGGUCUGGAAAGUCCGACGGUACAGGGUGAUAGUCCCGUACACCAAAAUGCACAGGCUGUGAACUCGAAGAGUAGGGCGGGACACGUGGUAUCCUGUCUGAAUAUGGGGGGACCAUCCUCCAAGGCUAAAUACUCCUGACUGACCGAUAGUGAACCAGUACCGUGAGGGAAAGGCGAAAAGAACCCCGGCGAGGGGAGUGAAAAAGAACCUGAAACCGUGUACGUACAAGCAGUGGGAGCACCUUCGGGUGUGACUGCGUACCUUUUGUAUAAUGGGUCAGCGACUUAUAUUCUGUAGCAAGGUUAACCGUAUAGGGGAGCCGCAGGGAAACCGAGUCUUAACUGGGCGUUAAGUUGCAGGGUAUAGACCCGAAACCCGGUGAUCUAGCCAUGGGCAGGUUGAAGGUUGGGUAACACUAACUGGAGGACCGAACCGACUAAUGUUGAAAAAUUAGCGGAUGACUUGUGGCUGGGGGUGAAAGGCCAAUCAAACCGGGAGAUAGCUGGUUCUCCCCGAAAGCUAUUUAGGUAGCGCCUCGUGAACUCAUCUUCGGGGGUAGAGCACUGUUUCGGCUAGGGGGUCAUCCCGACUUACCAACCCGAUGCAAACUACGAAUACCGAAGAAUGUUAUCACGGGAGACACACGGCGGGUGCUAACGUCCGUCGUGAAGAGGGAAACAACCCAGACCGCCAGCUAAGGUCCCAAAGUCAUGGUUAAGUGGGAAACGAUGUGGGAAGGCACAGACAGCCAGGAUGUUGGCUUAGAAGCAGCCAUCAUUUAAAGAAAGCGUAAUAGCUCACUGGUCGAGUCGGCCUGCGCGGAAGAUGUAACGGGGCUAAACCAUGCACCGAAGCUGCGGCAGCGACACUAUGUGUUGUUGGGUAGGGGAGCGUUCUGUAAGCCUGCGAAGGUGACCUGUGAGGGUUGCUGGAGGUAUCAGAAGUGCGAAUGCUGACAUAAGUAACGAUAAAGCGGGUGAAAAGCCCGCUCGCCGGAAGACCAAGGGUUCCUGUCCAACGUUAAUCGGGGCAGGGUGAGUCGACCCCUAAGGCGAGGCCGAAAGGCGUAGUCGAUGGGAAACAGGUUAAUAUUCCUGUACUUGGUGUUACUGCGAAGGGGGGACGGAGAAGGCUAUGUUAGCCGGGCGACGGUUGUCCCGGUUUAAGCAUGUAGGCUGGUUGUCCAGGCAAAUCCGGAUAAUCAAGGCUGAGGUGUGAUGACGAGGCACUACGGUGCUGAAGUAACAAAUGCCCUGCUUCCAGGAAAAGCCUCUAAGCAUCAGGUAACAUCAAAUCGUACCCCAAACCGACACAGGUGGUCAGGUAGAGAAUACCAAGGCGCUUGAGAGAACUCGGGUGAAGGAACUAGGCAAAAUGGUGCCGUAACUUCGGGAGAAGGCACGCUGGUGUGUAGGUGAAGCCCCUGCGGGUGGAGCUGAGACCAGUCGAAGAUACCAGCUGGCUGCAACUGUUUAUUAAAAACACAGCACUGUGCAAACACGAAAGUGGACGUAUACGGUGUGACGCCUGCCCGGUGCCGGAAGGUUAAUUGAUGGGGUUAUCCGUAAGGAGAAGCUCUUGAUCGAAGCCCCGGUAAACGGCGGCCGUAACUAUAACGGUCCUAAGGUAGCGAAAUUCCUUGUCGGGUAAGUUCCGACCUGCACGAAUGGCGUAAUGAUGGCCAGGCUGUCUCCACCCGAGACUCAGUGAAAUUGAACUCGCUGUGAAGAUGCAGUGUACCCGCGGCAAGACGGAAAGACCCCGUGAACCUUUACUAUAGCUUGACACUGAACAUUGAGCCUUGAUGUGUAGGAUAGGUGGGAGGCUUUGAAGCGUGGACGCCAGUCUGCGUGGAGCCAACCUUGAAAUACCACCCUUUAAUGUUUGAUGUUCUAACGUUGGCCCCUUACCGGGGUUGCGGACAGUGUCUGGUGGGUAGUUUGACUGGGGCGGUCUCCUCCCAAAGCGUAACGGAGGAGCACGAAGGUUAGCUAAUCCUGGUCGGACAUCAGGAGGUUAGUGCAAUGGCAUAAGCUAGCUUGACUGCGAGCGUGACGGCGCGAGCAGGUGCGAAAGCAGGUCAUAGUGAUCCGGUGGUUCUGAAUGGAAGGGCCAUCGCUCAACGGAUAAAAGGUACUCCGGGGAUAACAGGCUGAUACCGCCCAAGAGUUCAUAUCGACGGCGGUGUUUGGCACCUCGAUGUCGGCUCAUCACAUCCUGGGGCUGAAGUAGGUCCCAAGGGUAUGGCUGUUCGCCAUUUAAAGUGGUACGCGAGCUGGGUUUAGAACGUCGUGAGACAGUUCGGUCCCUAUCUGCCGUGGGCGCUGGAGAAUUGAGGGGGGCUGCUCCUAGUACGAGAGGACCGGAGUGGACGCAUCACUGGUGUUCGGGUUGUCAUGCCAAUGGCACUGCCCGGUAGCUAAAUGCGGAAGAGAUAAGUGCUGAAAGCAUCUAAGCACGAAACUUGCCCCGAGAUGAGUUCUCCCUGAGACUAUAAGUCUCCUGAAGGAACGUUAAAGACGAUGACGUUGAUAGGCCGGGUGUGUAAGCGCAGCGAUGCGUUGAGCUAACCGGUACUAAUGAACCGUGAGGCUUAACCUUACAACGCCGAAG
rnacentral:rRNA from 1 species